GGGCCCGAACUGGCUUCGACCGGACGAUCCCGUCCUUUCGUGGCGCGCCGUGGAGCAUGCUGGCCACGCAAAAAGCAUGCACAACAACGACUGCCAACACGCAGUACGCACUCGCGGCCUAAUCAAGGCUGCACGGAACCCUCCCGAUGCCCGGUAGGGAGGAGUUCCGCAAUCAUCGGGCAGGCACGAAUCGGCUGACAGACCCGACCGUGUGACACUCAGUCGGUCUUGGUUUCGUCGAGGCUGCUGCCGGCCAAUCGACGGAAUGACGAUCAAUGGCAGCUACGCGCGUAGAGGCGAUUUGACGACCGUUUCGGCACAGGGGUUCGACUCCCCUCGGGUCCACUU
rnacentral:tmRNA from 1 species